AAAUGGCUCGUCAGAAUAAUCUCGUACCGCCACCCACCUCACACUUCCGUCACUGCACAAUGGCUUCACUAGUUGAUUCAUGUGACUCGCAAAGAACGCAUUCUUGCUGCGGUUGGGUCAUGAACUGCACGGCAUAUAUGGCCAGACCUGAGGCCUGUUCAUUCACACAUCGAUUCAGAGGAAAACAGACAUCAGAGAUUCUGCAACUACCUCUCUCAGUCUUUCUUGCUUCCUUGUAGCCCUGGUUGAUACUUUCCAUUGUCCUUUGAGUACAAGCCAGUUGGAGACGGAAGGCGAGGCGACUGCAUUGUCCGUAAGAAUUCCUGCUUAACAACUACACGAUCCUUGAUCCAGCAGAGAAAGAUCCACCAAUCGUGGAUAAACAACAAAGUGAGCCAGAAGAGAUCAGCAGCGACCGCCCACUUCCAUGACGCACUGCGAAUGAAGCAGUCUACCAAUAAAUUUGUAUAUAUAUUUUCGGGUUUUUUUUUUAUUAUUUUUUUUAUAGACUUUCAAUUUAUUGAUUCUAUAUGUAUAGCCAACAGCUAUUUUUCCAUCGUUUCCAGCUCGAUUACGUCAUUCAAAAUGCUUCAUUGGAUUGUAAUUCAUUCCCUCAAUAAAGAUAUUAAGUACACAGUCUCAAACUUUUGUCUUUCUGUCUGGUUUUCAAAUACAUUUGUGCUUCAAAUCAAAGUUUGUAAUGUUGUGAUUCACCUCUGAGCUGGCUGGUUGGUUCA